rnacentral:rRNA from 1 species
ACGAACGCUUGCGGCAUGCCUCACCCAUUCCAGUCGCACGAUGCUUUCGGGCAUAGUGGCGCACGGGUGCGUAACGCGUGGGAAUCUGCCCUUGGGUUCGGAAUAACAGUGAGAAAUUGCUGCUAAUACCGGAUGAUGUCUUCGGACCAAAGAUUUAUCGCCCAGGGAUGAGCCCGCGUAGGAUUAGCUAGUUGGUGGGGUAAUGGCCUACCAAGGCGACGAUCCUUAGCUGGUCUGAGAGGAUGAUCAGCCACACUGGGACUGAGACACGGCCCAGACUCCUACGGGAGGCAGCAGUGGGGAAUAUUGGACAAUGGGCGCAAGCCUGAUCCAGCAAUGCCGCGUGAGUGAUGAAGGCCUUAGGGUUGUAAAGCUCUUUUACCCGGGAUGAUAAUGACAGUACCGGGAGAAUAAGCGCCGGCUAACUCCGUG